rnacentral:ncRNA from 1 species
UUAUUGGUUUAAUUCAGCCAUAGAAAUACAAGAAAGGAUCCACAUAUAUAUGUUAUAUUUUAGCUAAAAGCAAAGUAUUUGCUUUUUAUUUAGUGGUUAGGUUUUAUUAUUUUGUCAAACAAAGUUAAGUCCUUUAUCUAAUUUACCAGGAAAAGUCACAGUGCCAGCAUCCGCGGUUAUUCUGUUUAGUAUUAUUUCAAAAUAUAAACAUUACUUUGGUCAAAUUACUAUAUAAGUAGAAUUUUAAUAGUAAUUAUACUAAUCAAGGUAUAGAUAUAAAUUAAGUUAACAAGAAUGAGAUUAGAUACCUCAGUAUUACUUAUAUAAUAACUUUUAGUUAAACUAAAGAAAUUUGGCAGUCUUUUAUUCUCUACUGGGGGUUGUGUGUGUUAAAGGAUGAUCCACCAGACAACUUACCUUUUAUUAAUGUAGGUGUACGUCUGAUUGAAUAUUAAUAUAAAGAUAUAUUAGUGUAAUAAUUAUUUUAUUUAAGUCAAGUCUAUGUGCCACUAUAUAAAGGUUCACAUGCUACACAUUUACAAGUUUUCUUUUAUUAAUAAAGAAAUAUUUAGGACUAGUGAGUAUUCAAAUUAUAUUGUAUAUAGUUUUGUAUAAAAGAGUUUAAUAGAGGUACAUACCGCCCGUCAAUCUCGGUUCUCACUGAGAUAAGUCGUAACAUGGCAGCCUAUGGGGAACCAGAGGCUUGUAAA